rfam:Bussuquara virus strain BeAn 4073, complete genome
AUGGCUAGAAAACCAGGAAGACCCGGAGGAAACCGGGUCGUCAAUAUG